AUCCAGCUGACGAGUGUCGAAUAGGACGAAACGCGCGUCAAGCUGGAU
rfam:Schistosoma rodhaini strain Burundi genome assembly, scaffold: SROB_scaffold0011151